rnacentral:rRNA from 1 species
UACGAAGGGUGCAAGCGUUACUCGGAAUUACUGGGCGUAAAGCGUGCGUAGGUGGUUUGUUAAGUCUGUUGUGAAAGCCCCGGGCUCAACCUGGGAAUGGCAAUGGAUACUGGCAAGCUAGAGCGCGGUAGAGGGUAGUGGAAUUCCCGGUGUAGCGGUGAAAUGCGUAGAGAUCGGGAGGAACACCGGUGGCGAAGGCGGAUCUCUGGGCCUUACCUGACGCUCAGGCGCGAAAGCUAGGGGAGCGAACAGG